CGACCUCAGAGCAGGCGAGACUACCCGCUGAAUUUAAGCAUAUUACUAAGCGGAGGAAAAGAAACUAACAAGGAUUCCCCCAGUAGCGGCGAGCGAACAGGGAAGAGUCCAGCACCGAACCCCGCAGGCUGCCGCCUGUCGUGGCAUGUGGUGUUUGGGAGGGUCCACUACCCCGACGCCUCGCGCCGAGCCCAAGUCCAACUUGAAUGAGGCCACGGCCCGUAGAGGGUGCCAGGCCCGUAGCGGCCGGUGCGAGCGUCGGCGGGACCUCUCCUUCGAGUCGGGUUGCUUGAGAGUGCAGCUCCAAGUGGGUGGUAAACUCCAUCUGAGACUAAAUAUGACCACGAGACCGAUAGCGAACAAGUACCGUGAGGGAAAGUUGAAAAGAACUUUGAAGAGAGAGUUCAAAAGUACGUGAAACCGUUCUGGGGUAAACGUGAGAAGUCCGAAAGGUCGAACGGGUGAGAUUCACGCCCAUCCGGCCACUGGCCUCCGCCCUCGGCAGAUGGGGCCGGCCGCCCGCGCGGAGCAAUCCGCGGCGGGGUCGUGUCCGGUUGCCUUUCCACUCGCCGCGGGGUGGGGCCGUUCCGGUGUGCGGUGGGCCGCACUUCUCCCCUAGUAGGACGUCGCGACCCGCUGGGUGCCGGCCUACGGCCCGGGUGCGCAGCCUGUCCUUCCGCGGGCCUCGGUUCGCGUCUGUUGGGCAGAGCCCCGGUGUCCUGGCUGGCUGCCCGGCGGUAUAUCUGGAGGAGUCGAUUCGCCCCUUUGGGCGCUCGGGCUCCCGGCAAGCGCGCGCGGUUCUUCCCGGAUGACGGACCUACCUGGCCCGGCCCCGGACCCGCGCCGCUGUUGGCUCGGGAUGCUCUCGGGCGGAAUAAUCGCGCCCGUCAGCGGCGCUUCAGCUUUGGACAAUUUCACGACCCGUCUUGAAACACGGACCAAGGAGUCUAACAUGUGCGCGAGUCAUUGGGCUGUACGAAACCUAAAGGCGUAAUGAAAGUGAAGGUCUCGCCUUGCGCGGGCCGAGGGAGGAUGGGGCUUCCCCGCCCUUCACGGGGCGGCGGCCUCCGCACUCCCGGGGCGUCUCGUCCUCAUUGCGAGGUGAGGCGCACCUAGAGCGUACACGUUGGGACCCGAAAGAUGGUGAACUAUGCCUGGCCAGGACGAAGUCAGGGGAAACCCUGAUGGAGGUCCGUAGCGAUUCUGACGUGCAAAUCGAUCGUCGGAGCUGGGUAUAGGGGCGAAAGACUAAUCGAACCAUCUAGUAGCUGGUUCCCUCCGAAGUUUCCCUCAGGAUAGCUGGUGCUCGUACGAGUCUCAUCCGGUAAAGCGAAUGAUUAGAGGCCUUGGGGCCGAAACGACCUCAACCUAUUCUCAAACUUUAAAUGGGUGAGAUCUCCGGCUUGCUUGAUAUGCUGAAGCCGCGAGCAAACGACUCGGAUCGGAGUGCCAAGUGGGCCACUUUUGGUAAGCAGAACUGGCGCUGUGGGAUGAACCAAACGCCGAGUUAAGGCGCCCGAAUCGACGCUCAUGGGAAACCAUGAAAGGCGUUGGUUGCUUAAGACAGCAGGACGGUGGCCAUGGAAGUCGGAAUCCGCUAAGGAGUGUGUAACAACUCACCUGCCGAAGCAACUAGCCCUGAAAAUGGAUGGCGCUGAAGCGUCGUGCCUAUACUCGGCCGUCAGUCUGGCAGUCAUGGCCGGUCCUUGCGGCCGGCCGCGAAGCCCUGACGAGUAGGAGGGUCGCGGCGGUGGGCGCAGAAGGGUCUGGGCGUGAGCCUGCCUGGAGCCGCCGUCGGUGCAGAUCUUGGUGGUAGUAGCAAAUACUCCAGCGAGGCCCUGGAGGGCUGACGCGGAGAAGGGUUUCGUGUGAACAGCCGUUGCACACGAGUCAGUCGAUCCUAAGCCCUAGGAGAAAUCCGAUGUUGAUGGGGGCCGUCAUAGCAUGAUGCGCUUUGUGCUGGCCCCCGUUGGGCGAAAGGGAAUCCGGUUCCUAUUCCGGAACCCGGCAGCGGAACCGAUACAAGUCGGGCCCCUCUUUUAGAGAUGCUCGUCGGGGUAACCCAAAAGGACCCGGAGACGCCGUCGGGAGAUCGGGGAAGAGUUUUCUUUUCUGCAUGAGCGUUCGAGUUCCCUGGAAUCCUCUAGCAGGGAGAUAGGGUUUGGAACGCGAAGAGCACCGCAGUUGCGGCGGUGUCCCGAUCUUCCCCUCGGACCUUGAAAAUCCGGGAGAGGGCCACGUGGAGGUGUCGCGCCGGUUCGUACCCAUAUCCGCAGCAGGUCUCCAAGGUGAAGAGCCUCUAGUCGAUAGAAUAAUGUAGGUAAGGGAAGUCGGCAAAUUGGAUCCGUAACUUCGGGAUAAGGAUUGGCUCUGAGGAUCGGGGCGUGUCGGGCUUGGUCGGGAAGUGGGUCAGCGCUAACGUGCCGGGCCUGGGCGAGGUGAGUGCCGUAGGGGUGCCGGUAAGUGCGGGCGUUUAGCGCGGGCGUGGUCUGCUCUCGCCGUUGGUCGGCCUCGUGCUGGCCGGCGGUGCAGGAUGCGCGCGCCUGCGCGGCGUUCGCGCCCCGGUGCUUCAACCUGCGUGCAGGAUCCGAGCUCGGUCCCGUGCCUUGGCCUCCCACGGAUCUUCCUUGCUGCGAGGCCGCGUCCGCCUUAGCGUGCUCCUCCGGGGGCGCGCGGGUGCGCGGAUUCUCUUCGGCCGCCAUUCAACGAUCAACUCAGAACUGGCACGGACUGGGGGAAUCCGACUGUCUAAUUAAAACAAAGCAUUGCGAUGGCCCUAGCGGGUGUUGACGCAAUGUGAUUUCUGCCCAGUGCUCUGAAUGUCAACGUGAAGAAAUUCAAGCAAGCGCGGGUAAACGGCGGGAGUAACUAUGACUCUCUUAUCUCUUCCUUCUGGCCCGCGCCCUUCCGGAACGCCUGCUUCGUGCGCGGACGUCCCUUCUCCCGAAAACGGCUGCACCAACAUCCCCCGCUGACUUUCGCCCCAUUACGGUCUGCUCGGUGUUGGCGCGGACCUUUCACAAGGUUCUCGCGUCACGCCUGAUGCGCGCAUGUGCUGUGGACGAACGUCAGCGGGCAUUCAUCCCUCGGGAUGGGAUGUUGGAAAAUACCUUCAUCUUGGACACUGCUCUCACCGACGCAGUUCGCUCCUGCCGCUCUGUCUUUGUGGCGUCGAUCGACGUAUCUAAGGCAUUCGAUUCGGUAGAUCAUGCUGCCCUUCGCCCCGUGCUGAAGGCGCAUGGCCUGCCGGAUUGCUUUGUCGAGUAUGUCGAGCGGUGCUACGAGGGCAGCACGACAGUGAUAGCGGACGGCGCCGGCGUGGGCGUGUCUGUGCAGCCAGCACGGGGCGUUCGCCAGGGCGAUCCCCUCUCCCCCCUCCUGUUCAACUUUGCGGUGGACUACGUUUUAGGCCAACUGCCCUCCCACAUCGGAGCUCGGAUCCUCGGUCGCAGAGUCAACGCUGCGGCCUUUGCAGAUGACGUCUUGCUGUUUGCAGCGACCCCGAGGGGCUUGCAGUCCCUCAUCGACGCAGCUACCGCAGCCCUCGCCCACCUGGGGCUGCAGAUCAACGCCCGGAAGUGUUUCACCCUCGCCUUAGUCGCGUCAGGGCGCGAGAAGAAGGUGAAGGUGGACAGCAAUGUCACCUUCACAGCAGGCAAUACCACCAUGCCUGCCCUGCGUGUGGGUGAAACCUUCCGGUACCUGGGGCUGCAAUUUUCCACGGCGGGUCGCUGUGUCUUCAAUCCACGUAGCCACCUGGUGGAGCAGCUUGACGUCAUCUCCCGAGCUCCGCUGAAGCCGCAACAGCGCCUCCACGCUCUCACCAACGUACUUCUCCCUGGCCUGUACCACGGGCUGGCCCUCAGUCGCACCCGGGUGGGUGCAUUGAAGUCGGCCGACGUUACCAUCCGGGCCGCCGUCAGGAGAUGGUUCCGCCUUCCGGCGGACACCCCCCUGGGAUACUUCCACGCUCCUGUUGCCCAGGGGGGCCUCGGCAUUCCAUCUUGCCGAUGGAUGGGUCCGACCCUCCGUCGGUCCCGUCUCCUGGCGCUGAAGAAGAUAGGGCCAGCCUGCGACGGUGCAGGCAUGGAUGAGGUGCAGCGUGAGAUCGAGGUGCUGGAGCGCCACCUAAUGUGGGAGGGCCACCUCCUCAAAUCGUCAACGCAGGUUGGGGAAAUGUGGGCGGCGCGCCUACACAUCGCCAUUGACGGUGCGGCACUGUCAUCUUCUGCCGCCGUCAGUGGCCAACAUCAGUGGGUCGCCGACACCAGUCGCCUGCUAUCUGGGCGUGAAUACAUCGACGCCCUCCGCGCCCGCAUCAACGCCUUCCCUACGAAGGCACGGCGCAGUCGCGGGCGGGAGGCGGACACCAGAUGCCGCGCGGGGUGCCAGGCCGUGGAGACCGCCAACCACGUACUUCAGGCUUGCUUUAGGACGCACGGGUCCCGGGUCAAGCGCCAUGACGCUGUAGUGCGUUAUGUCGCCCGUGGACUCGCGCAGAGGGGCUUCAAUGUCUCUGUGGAGCCCCACCUCCGAACACCUGAGGGCAUCCGCAAGCCUGACGUGGUGGCGGUCAAAGACGGCAUCGCCCGCGUGGUCGACGCCCAGAUAGUCGGAGACCACCUCCGGCUCGACUGGUGUCACUCCCAGAAGGCGGCCUACUACGACACGCCGUCCAUCCGGCGUGCCAUCUCCAACCUGCACCGUGACGUUGAGGAGGUGAUUGUGUCCACCGCGACGUUGAACUGGAGGGGUGUAUGGUCUCCAGCGUCGGCGAGGGAUCUCGCCGCCUUAGGCUUCCGACCCCGAGAACUGGCGGUGCUGAGCACAAGAACACUACAGAGCUGCUGCAAAAGUUACAAGAUUUUCGAGCGUAUGACGGCUCCUAGCCCGAAGCAGCGUGUCGGCGUCGGCUAGGCUGCUGGUUAUUUUUCUUCGCCUUGACUCCUGGGGCCUAUCCACAGGAGGAAUAAACCGUCUUUGUUCUUCCUUCUCUAUGU